GCCCGUGUUAAGGGCUGUCACCUGAUUUGUAAUCAGGGGGUCGCGGGUUCGAACCCUGCCGGGGGCACCA
rnacentral:tRNA from 2 species